rnacentral:ncRNA from 1 species
UAAAAAGCGUUGAUGGAAAAGAGUAAUCUUUUUGGAUCUUAAAAGGGAAUGUCUGUCGUUGACUGGAAGCAGACUAAGAAAAGAAAAGAUGAAGUUCACUUCUGGAGCUUGUCGAAAGACCGGCAUAGCCGUUAAAAAGUGAGAGCGUCAAUUUAUUCAGUUGGCGAAUUAGGAUGGUAACGCGAGACCUCGUUCCUUUA